rnacentral:lncRNA from 1 species
GUUGGCAUUGAAGAUUCUCCUAAAGAUAUAUCCAUUUUUAAUUCCAUUAACAUUUUUUUUUUUUAAAUAGCUUUAUUAUGAUAAGAUUGCUUUAAAAAUUUUGGGGAUUUAGGUCUAACUAUUGUAAUGCCACAGCAUAUUUAGGCUCUUAAUAUUAUUCAUUGUGCACCCAUAUAGAAAUAGUUUAGUCCAAAUUUCAUUCAUUUUUAUAAAGGGUAUAUAGUAAGUUUCUGCUAUAUUAGCCAAUAAAAAGCAGAAUAGAUUGCUGCCGAUUAUGAAAAGUUACCAUAAUUGUUGUAGAAAUUGAAAAAGAUAUCAAUACUUAAUGCAAAUCAGAUGUACAGGUUACUUGAUUUAUUAUUGUUAAGUGAAAAUCAGCUUGAAAUUUCCUAUAAAAAAAAAAAAAAAAACUCUUUGCUUGUGAGAUUAAAGCUCACUGAACAAAAUCUAAGUGCAAAAUAUGCACAACAGUAUUUUCCAGUGGUUCUUUUCACAUUUGAAAGGAAAAAACUGCAGAUAUUCCUUGCUGUAAAUAGUAGACAUUUAUCUGUAUGCUUAAUACCUGCAGUUUUCCAUGUUGUUAAUGUGUAGUGAUUGGCACAAUUUGUUGUGGCAUUUUUUUUUGUCACAAAAUGAAAUUCCUUCCAAUGUAACACUGCCAUUCACUGGUCUGCGAUUGGUGACAUCAUGAUCUCACCCCUAUCACUAAAUCGGUAAUCACUUGUACAGUAUGUAUGCCAGCAUUUGUUUUGAAUGAUUUGCAUUGAAAGCUUCAUUAUGGACAUUUCAGAAAUUAAAUAAAAUUUCUAAGAAUGAUUAAAUUUAUUAAAUAUAUUAAUUAAAGUUUUAGUUAAAUUGAUCAUUUUUUUUUUAAAAGAUAUACAUAAAAUGUCCUUGCAAAUUAAGUAUCAUCAAAUGAUGCAUUGUAAAAAACAAAUGCUGGCAAUUAUUAAUUUAGGAAGUUAAUACCUACUGUAUGCAAUGUUCAUUUGUUAGUAGGUAAGAUUCUUUCAUUGGAAGGGGACCUAUCUGUACAGUACCUGGCAAUACAUUUUAUGUAUUGUCACAUACAGUUGCCUUCUGUAACCAAUGUGCCCUUUCUAGAAAUUCUCUGGUGUUUUAGUAGAUUAGAUUGGUGUUGGAAGUAUGAAGGUGCAGGUUUGCCAAUAUUAGUAGAAUGAAGAGAGAAAAAAAUUUAACUGUGCAUCCAAGAUCAAUUUGGAAGUACAGAUAACAUUUGUGUAUAAAUAAAAAAAAUUAAUAAAAUGAACAAAUAAUGGAUUUACUGUUAAGGUGUGCCUUUAUGUCAGAUCAUGAAAAGUUGAUAGCCUUAAAUGUUUAAAAAAAAUAGCAACAAGUCAUUUGUUUCAAAUAGAAUUGCAUUGUUUACUUUGUUUUCCCCACAUGCUUUUUGUAUCCAAAAAUCCAGUAACAAUUUUCAAAAGACUACUUUUGUGUGUCUGUGCCUUUACUUUGUGAAAGUCUGAAAAAGUAGCUUUUUAGAUAAAUGUUGUGCUUUUUGUGCUCUUUAAACCACCAACUUUGGUCAUUGUAUUUUUAUGGAUAGUAAGAAGAGUUACGAAUAAUUAAAAGUGCCCCGUGGCAUUUACUCGUAUCACUUCUACUGCCAGAUGUAGCACUGUAUGGAAAUUUUGUAAUGUACACUCACAUUCAAGUGUGUAGUUUUAGUUGUGUGUGAGACGGUGCACCUUUGACAUUUUUAAGCCAGUUUUGUUGUGGAGAAAAUUUUAUUAGAAUAAGCGUCAAUGGAUGCCUAAGCAUUAUAUAGUUUUACCAGAGAAUUGUUACCUGUCACAUUAGGGAAUCUGUAUUUACUGAUUAAAGCAUCCUAUAAAACUUCUGUAAUCCCCUAAGCAUUAUGUAAUUUGUAUACCAGUGCAUUGUUUCCUUUGUAAGUUGGCAUGUAUUGAUGCUUUAAUUAGUAAUCAAAGUUUGGCUGAAGUAAUUUAAUGAUGAUAAUGACAAUUAAGUGUUUUUAUAUUAUCAUUAUCUACUUCAGUCUCAUACUGUUACACUUCAGUCUUUGACCACCUCAGUUAAGGUAUAUAGAAAACUGCAGUGUAAUUAGUAGCUUUCCCUUCCAGUGACUGGUUGUAGAUGUGGAUUGUCAUUUUUACACAGAUUUGCAAUAAAAAACAAGUAAAUCACAUUUUGUCUGUUUAAUGUUUCUAUUAUUGCUGUACAAUAAACAAAUUGUGUUUUACAUUACAUUGGUAAAGUACUUUCUUUUUAAGAACAACAUGAUUAUCUAGACUUCUUCCAAUCAACCUUUAACGAAAUCUUCUCCUUUCUUAAUGUUGCC